GCUAGUGUGACGUAGUGGUUUGAGUGUCAGACUAAGACUCUGAAGACCAGGGUUCGAUUCCCGGCUCAAGUC